AAUCAACGCUGGCGGCGUGCCUCAGACAUGCAAGUCGAACGCGAAAUUUCCCUUCGGGGGAGAAAGUAGAGUGGCGCACGGGUGAGUAACACGUAGGUAAUCUGCCUUUGGGUGGGGAAUAACUCAGGGAAACUUGAGCUAAUACCGCAUAAUAGCAGCGGCUCGACAUCGAGACAGUUGUUAAAGACGGGGGAGUCGCAAGACCUCGCGCCUAAAGAGGAGCCUGCGGCGAGAUUAGGUAGUUGGUGAGGUAAUGGCUCACCAAGCCUGCGAUCUGUAGCCGGCCUGAGAGGG
rnacentral:rRNA from 1 species